rnacentral:lncRNA from 10 species
UCCUGUUAUUUUAUGCCACCCAAUUUGUGGUGAUUUUUUACGGCAGCCUUAGGAAACAAAUAUGGGAGAAAUGUUUUAAUUUCAAUCUUACUCUGUAUGCAGGUGACUUUUCAGAAGACACCCUAGACUCCUUAACUAUCUGAGAGAGCUGCUCCUUGGGGCUGUGCUGAGACAAUUCUCUAUUUUACAGUGUAUACAGAUACAACUAUUUCCCCUAAUAGGGUGGGAAAAAUCGCUACUCAUGAUUACUCCUAAAUUUGUGAAGUUUAUAGUUCUAUUGUCUUUAAAUGUAACUCAUGUUUAUUUCAAAAACAUUCACAAAUAUAGAAAAGUAUACAAAACAAAACAGUAAGAUUGUCUGUAAUCACAUCAUAUGGGAAUAAAAAACAAAAAUAAUUUCCUUCCCUUAAGUUUCUACAUUUUAUCAAAAUUAAUAGAUGUCUUGUGACAUCUAUUAAUAUACAUAUAACAUAUUUAUAAUAUAAAAGAGUGAGACAUUGUGCUAAGCCCUAACAUGUAUUUUUCUCCUUUAAUCCUUGCAACAGGCCUGUCAGGCAGGCACCUACUGCCUCUGCACCAUGGAGGAAACACAGGAAUAAUGUAGGUAAUGAACUUUCCAUAGCUCAUAAAGGUUAAUAAGAGAAGGAGCUAGGACUUGAACUCAGAAUGAAUCCAGAGCCCACAUUUGUCUCCACCUGCCUACGACUGCCCUAUACCCCGUGGCUUUUAGGUUAUUUAUUUUUAAAUUUAUUUUUACAUUUUAUGUGGGAGCCUACAAUCACAUGGGUUCAUGGGCCACACAUACAAAAAGGCUAGGAAUUUUAUUUUUCUAAUUCUCAUGAUAUUUUGGAGAAAGCAAUAUCAUUCUGAUUGUGCAAAUUAAGAAACUUACUUUUGGAGAGGUUAAUUAACCUAACAAAGUGAUAUUCCUAUUUAGCAGUGAAGCUAGGAUUUGAAACAAUCUCUCCUGAGGGUUGGAGGUGAAGGCACCUUCUCUGACAAACACACAAGACACCUGAGAGAGGGAGGUGGGUUGUCCAUCAGGAUGUCUGUGGCCUUGCAGCCCUUCAGUUGCGGUGAGCCACUAGGUAAUCCUCAGAGGAUGGGGUGGGCUGCGGGUGGGCAUUAGGGGCAAUGCCUGAAGAAAAAUCUCACUGUGAAUUUUUAGUCCUGCAAGGGGUAGCGGGGAGAAAGGGGGCUUUAAUAAGACUAGAAGUCCUUUAAACUACAAAAGAGUGGGAAAGACCAUUUGGCCAAAGCCAGAAACUUUUCUGUGGAAGAUGGAUAAUGAAGAGGACACAUGUCACAUAACACCCCAAAGAAGUAAACUGGGAGUCCUAUUAGGGUGAGGGAAUUAUAAUUUGGAAUUGCCAACACUUACUGGCAUUACUUAACAGGUGGGGGCAGGUGCUGGAAAUGCUUAGGAAGCCCCUGUUCAUGCUGAGAUGAAAUCCAUCCCGGUUUAAAAGCUUCCUGUGAAGAUUUUCAAGGGGGUUCUGCAGAGAAAGGGGGACAUUUCUGCAAUCACCCAGGCAGGGGUGACCUGGCUUUGAUGGCACCUCUUACACAAAACCAAUGUGAGUGUCUCACCUGUUCAGAAGUGUUAGGAUUGUUUGGAAAUCUUACCUCCCCACAACCCAUCGAAAAGUUUCUCCAGAAUCAAAAUAAACCUGCCCGUUAUCAUUUAAAAUUGUGGGGAUAUCCAGGAUGUUUCAUUUCUGGAGUAGGACUGUGGGCUGUUGUUCCUGCCACACAUGGUGCUGGUCAUCUUCUCUAAUGCCUUAAUACUUCCCUCACUGCUGGAUUGAUGCCUUGCAGGAGAAACACAUAAACAACAAAAAAAAGAUGGUCAACACCAUUAGCCAUUAGGAAAAUGCAACAUUUUUAGUGGAGACGGGGUUUCACCGUGUUAGCCAGGAUGGUCUGCAUCUCCUGACCUCGUGAUCCGCCCGCCUCAGCCUCCCAAAGUGCUGGGAUUACAGGUGUGAGCCACCACGCCCGGCUGAGAUGGAGUCUUGCUCUGUCACCCAGGCUGGAGUGCAGUGGCGCGAUCCCAGCUCACUGCAACCUCCGCCUCCCGGGUUCAAGGGAUUCUCCUGCUUCAGCCUCCCGAGUAGCUGGG